UCGAGAAUCUUCGGCAAUGGGCGCAAGCCUGACCGAGCGACGCCGCGUGGAGGACGAAGGCCUUCGGGUUGUAAACUCCUGUCGAGGGGGAAGAAGGGCCUUAAAACCUUGACUGAUCCCUGGAGGAAGCACGGGCUAAGUUCGUGCCAGCAGCCGCGGUAAGACGAACCGUGCGAACGUUAUUCGGAAUCACUGGGCUUAAAGCGCGUGUAGGCGGCCCGGAACGUCCGUCGCUGAAAUCCCCCGGCUCAACCGGGGAAGUGGCGUGGAUACGACCGGGCUGGAGGGGGGUAGGGGGGACGGGAACUCACGGUGGAGCGGUGAAAUGCGUUGAGAUCGUGAGGAACGCCCGCGGCGAAAGCGCGUCCCUGGACCCCACCUGACGCUGAGACGCGAAAGCCAGGGGAGCGAACGGGAUUAGAUACCCCCGUAGUCC
rnacentral:rRNA from 1 species